CCAAGAACACGGACGCCAUCCCUCUUGUAAUUACGCCUGGAGCUUCCAGUGGAGACUCCGGCAAUGAUCUCGCAAUUGGGAUCUGGAAGGUCAACUCUUUGGGAGCCCUGGCGCGAUUUUGUUCCGGGGAUUCGGCGUGUCAAAUGCGGAGGAAUUUGCUCGAGUGGUGGAAGCGUUUGGAUAUGAGAGCAUGGGUUGCAGAGCUGGAGCUGCGAGGAGGAAGCACAUUGUCGGGCCUGUCUACACAAACAAUGCCCUCGACGCUGAAACCGAGCUUGGAUUUCACAAUGAAAUGAGCUACCUUGCGGAUUAUCCCGACUUGGUCGUGUUUUUCUGCGAGGUUGCUCCACCGCCAAGCGCCGGCGGUGCCACUGGGAUCGUCCAAGGCAAAGCCACCAUUUGGUGACUUGCCUCUGAAGAAAAUGUCGCCAGUCAAGGUCGUGGUCUAAGGAUAUUGGACACAUAUUUACACGCGACAAUGGGAAUCUAAGCUUGCUAUGCUGGCUCUCGGAGCAAAGAGGACUUUGGAGCCAGAGGACUUGCCCGGCAGCCCACGGGUUUUUUUCACGAAAGUUCAAAGCAAGCUUCCGAGCCUCUCGCCUUCUUUGACAGCGGUUCCUUGUCGUGAGGCGUGUUUGUUUUUGCUGUAGUUCUGUGAUUGGAGUAGUCACUAUGGCUGGCUGAAGAAAUCGUUCAUGACGCAGCUCGCAAUAAUUUGGACGACUAGAAUGGUCACCUUAGCUACUUUGUGGCUGACUUCAGCGAGUUUUUGUUUGCGACAGUGUUGCCAGAAUGUAAAACUCUGUAGACUUCACGAGGCAGGAACGAACGUGAUAUUUAAUCUGAA